CUCUGAUAUAGCUGAUUCCUCUUGCAGCGUCAAAUUCAAUCAAGAAGAUUGCGUUGUACAGAGCUGUCUUCUGAGGUACCUUGGGUGUCCUUAUCAUGAUUUUCAGGUUUCUAGCAAAAUCAUUGUGUUUGCAGUUUUAUUUAUGUUUUCUGGUGAUGACCUGCAUGUGACUGACAGUUGACCUGAAAACAUAUCUCCCAGAAUUGAGGGGAAGAGAAUGUUAAAACAAAACAUGACAAAAUCAUAAAAAGGCAAAGGUAAACAUCUUAGUGCAGUACCAAAUGCUCCCUUCUCUCAGACUUUGAAGAUUCUUUCCUUGUAUAAAUAGAAACUUCCCUAUUAUUCUCCCUUUUUUUCCUGAUUAUCUUUUUGUAUCAGUUUGACCUGGCUUUCUUGCCAAAUCCAAGCUGUCCCCU